rnacentral:rRNA from 1 species
AUUGAACGCUGGCGGCAGGCUUAACACAUGCAAGUCGAGCGAGCGGCGGACGGGUGAGUAAUGUCUGGGAAACUGCCUGAUGGAGGGGGAUAACUACUGGAAACGGUAGCUAAUACCGCAUACCAUACGAUGUGCCCAGAUGGGAUUAGCUAGUAGGUGGGGUAAUGGCUCACCUAGGCGACGAACCCUAGCUGGUCUGAGAGGAUGACCGUCCCCGCUGGAACGGAGACACGGUCCGAACUCCUACAGUGGGCAGCAGUGGGGAAUAUUGCACAAUGGGCGAAAGCCUGAUGCAGCCAUGCCGCGUGUGUGAAGAAGGCCUUCGGGUUGUAAAGCACUUUCAGCGAGGAGGCGGUACUCGCAGAAGAAGCACCGGCUAACUCCGUGCCAGCAGCCGCGGUAAUAC